GUCCACGCCGUAAACGAUGAAUACUAGGUGUAGGGGGUAUCGACCCCUCCUGUGCCGUCGUUAACACAAUAAGUAUUCCACCUGGGGAGUACGGCCGCAAGGCUGAAACUCAAAGGAAUUGACGGGGGCCCGCACAAGCAGUGGAGUAUGUGGUUUAAUUCGAAGCAACGCGAAGAACCUUACCAGGUCUUGACAUCCUAUGCAACCCCUAGAGAUAGGGGGUUCUCUUCGGAGACGUAGAGACAGGUGGUGCAUGGUUGUCGU
rnacentral:rRNA from 1 species